AUGCGAUAAUUAAUGUGAAUUGCAGAAUUCAGUGAAUCAUCGAGUUUUUGAACGCACAUUGCGCCCCAUGGCAUGCCGUGGGGCAUGCCCGUCUCAGAGUUAGUAAAACCAUUUCAGGCUGUAGCUUUUAUGCUUUGUCUGGAUUAUGUCAAAGAAGUGGAGUUUUUGUCUACUCUUUGUAAAGAAAUAGAUACCUUGAAAACUUGCUUGAGGCCAACGUAAUAAGAAAAUCCGGUGGUCAAAAGCAAAAAAUUAUUUCUUGGCAAGCCAAAAUUUUUAUUUAGGAAUUUAACCUGAGAUCGGGUAGGGAUACCCGCUGAACUUAA
rnacentral:rRNA from 1 species